rnacentral:lncRNA from 1 species
CCCCCUUUUUUGCACCUUAUUCCUUAAUGGUUUGAGCCAUAACUUCCAAAGACAAUUCUUACCAUCCCUUUGUGGUAUUCCAAUAUCCAAAAUCUAAUACAUGGUUAGAUUCAUCAUACCAAAAAACCCCAAGAAUUCAAUUUUUAAUGAAAUCAAAUAAAGUUCAAUUUUGGACCCUUUAGACCUCAAUUUGGACCAAUUUGAUAACCGG